rnacentral:rRNA from 1 species
UACGUAGGGUGCGAGCGUUAAUCGGAAUUACUGGGCGUAAAGCGUGCGCAGGCGGUUUUGUAAGCCAGAUGUGAAAGCCCCGGGCUUAACCUGGGAAUGGCAUUUGGGACUGCAAGGCUAGAGUGCGGCAGAGGAGACUGGAAUUCCUGGUGUAGCAGUGAAAUGCGUAGAUAUCAGGAGGAAUACCGAUGGCGAAGGCAAGUCUCUGGGCUGACACUGACGCUCAUGCACGAAAGCGUGGGGAGCAAACAGG